rnacentral:tRNA from 1 species
GCCCACGUAGCUCAGUUGGUAGAGCGCUUCCUUGGUAAGGAAGAGGUUCACCGGUUCAAGUCCGGUCGUGGGCUCCA